AUCAACUCGGCAAGGAAAGUGGAGCCAUUUAAGAGGGAAUUAGAAAGUAUUGCUGUUCUUUUAAGCAUGGAGAGUGGGGUUCGACAACUUCGCGUGAAGCCGCACCAUCCCAGGCACGUUGAAAACGCCACCUAUUACAACCCUUCAAGGUGGUUCAACAUCACUCUUGGCGUGGCGGGGCCGUUAGGCAGCCUUCUUGGCGAUUAAUCUGCCAUUUCCCGUCGUCAGUCAAGCAAUACGUUUG